rnacentral:rRNA from 1 species
ACGAACGCUGGCGGCGUGCUUAACACAUGCAAGUCGAACGGAAAGGCCCUGCUUUUGUGGGGUGCUCGAGUGGCGAACGGGUGAGUAACACGUGAGUAACCUGCCCUUGACUUUGGGAUAACUUCAGGAAACUGGGGCUAAUACCGGAUAGGAGCUCCUGCUGCAUGGUGGGGGUUGGAAAGUUUCGGCGGUUGGGGAUGGACUCGCGGCUUAUCAGCUUGUUGGUGGGGUAGUGGCUUACCAAGGCUUUGACGGGUAGCCGGCCUGAGAGGGUGACCGGCCACAUUGGGACUGAGAUACGGCCCAGACUCCUACGGGAGGCAGCAGGGGGGAAUAUUGCACAAUGGGCGGAAGCCUGAUGCAGAAACGCCGCGUGCGGGAUGACGGCCUUCGGGUUGUAAACCGCUUUCGCCUGUGACGAAGCGUGAGUGACGGUAAUGGGUAAAGAAGCACCGGCUAACUACGUG